rnacentral:rRNA from 1 species
UAGGUGAACCUGCGGAAGGAUCAUUACAGAGUUCAUGCCCUUCGGGGUAGACCUCCCACCCUUGAGUACUAUACUUUUGUUGCUUUGGCAGGCCGUCAGGUUUACGCCUGGCUACCGGCUCCGGCUGGUAAGUGUCUGCCAGAGGACCUAAACUCUGAAUUUUAUGUCGUCUGAGUACUAUAUAAUAGUUAAAACUUUCAACAACGGAUCUCUUGGUUCUGGCAUCGAUGAAGAACGCAGCGAAAUGCGAUAAGUAAUGUGAAUUGCAGAAUUCAGUGAAUCAUCGAAUCUUUGAACGCACAUUGCGCCCCUUGGUAUUCCGAGGGGCAUGCCCGUUCGAGCGUCAUCAACACCAUCAAGCCUGGCUUGGUAUUGGGCCUUGCCUGUAACACGGCCGGCUUUAAAAUCAGUGGCGGUGCCGCCUGGCUCUAAGCGUAGUAACUUUUCUCGCUAUUGUGCCCGGCGGUUGCUUGCCAACAACCCCUAAUUUAAUAGAUUUGACCUCGGAUCGGGUA